rnacentral:rRNA from 1 species
UACGUAGGGUGCAAGCGUUAAUCGGAAUUACUGGGCGUAAAGCGUGCGCAGGCGGUUUUGUAAGUCUGACGUGAAAUCCCCGGGCUUAACCUGGGAAUUGCGUUGGAGACUGCAAGGCUUGAAUCUGGCAGAGGGGGGUAGAAUUCCACGUGUAGCAGUGAAAUGCGUAGAGAUGUGGAGGAACACCGAUGGCGAAGGCAGCCCCCUGGGUCAAGAUUGACGCUCAUGCACGAAAGCGUGGGGAGCAAACAGG